rnacentral:rRNA from 1 species
AUUUUGGACAAUGGGGGCAACCCUGAUCCAGCCAUGCCGCGUGCGGGAAGAAGGCCUUCGGGUUGUAAACCGCUUUUAGCCGGGAAGAAAGGGCCAGACCGAAUAAGUCUGGUUCUUGACGGUACCGGCGGAAUAAGCACCGGCUAACUACGUGCCAGCAGCCGCGGUAAUACGUAGGGUGCGAGCGUUAAUCGGAAUUACUGGGCGUAAAGCGUGCGCAGGCGGUUCGCUGUGUCCUGUGUGAAAGCCCCGGGCUCAACCUGGGAAUGGCAUGGGAAACUGGCGGGCUGGAGUGUGGCAGAGGGGGGUGGAAUUCCGCGUGUAGCAGUGAAAUGCGUAGAGAUGCGGAGGAACACCGAUGGCGAAGGCAGCCCCCUGGGCCAACACUGACGCUCAGGCACGAAAGCGUGGGGAGCAAAC